rnacentral:rRNA from 1 species
GACGAACGCUGGCGGCGUGCCUAAUACAUGCAAGUAGAACGCACAGUUUAUACCGUAGCUUGCUACACCAUAAACUGUGAGUUGCGAACGGGUGAGUAACGCGUAGGUAACCUGCCUGGUAGCGGGGGAUAACUAUUGGAAACGAUAGCUAAUACCGCAUAAUAUUGAUUAUUGCAUGAUAAUUGAUUGAAAGAUGCUAUUGCAUCACUACCAGAUGGACCUGCGUUGUAUUAGCUAGUAGGUGAGGUAACGGCUCACCUAGGCGACGAUACAUAGCCGACCUGAGAGGGUGAGCGGCCAGACUGGGACGGAGACACGGCCCAGACUCCUACGGGAGGCAGCAGUAGGGAAUCUUCGGCAAUGGACGAAAGUCUGACCGAGCAACGCCGCGUGAGUGAAGAAGGUUGUCGGAUCGUAAAGCUCUGUUGUAAGAGAAGAACGGGUGUGAGAGUGGAAAGUUCACACUGUGACGGUAUCUUACCAGAAAGGGACGGCUAACUACGUG